UACGUAGGGGCGAGCGUUGUCCGGAUUUACUGGGCGUAAAGGGUGAGUAGGCGGUUAUAUAUGUCAGGUGUAAAAGGCUAUGGCUUAACCAUGGUUAGCACUUGAAACUGUAUGACUUGAGUGCAGGAAAGGUAAGUGGAAUUCCUAGUGUAGCGGUGAAAUGCGUAGAUAUUAGGAGGAACACCAGUGGCGAAGGCGACUUACUGGACUGUAACUGGCGCUGAGUCACGAAAGCGUGGGUAGCAAACAGGAUUAGAUACCCCGGUAGUUCCUGAG
rnacentral:rRNA from 1 species